AUGCGCGCGGAUCGCGUCAUGGCGGAGUCGGGCAAGCGGAUCGACCUGGCCGCGCCGCUGCGCUCCGCGCGCCUGCCGUACCACAAGGCCGACCUGGACUCCGGCCCCGUCCGCCACCCCGGCGCCGUGCCCUUCGUCUGGGAGCAGAGCCCCGGCCAGCCCAAGAGCGUCCGCACCCGUCGCCCGGUUCCGCACUCGCCCUCGCCCUCGCAGCCGCGCCCGGAGGAGAACGGCGCCACCCCUUACCACGGCGCCCUGGGCGAGCGCGAUCGCGCACUGCCAAACGUCAUCCCCGCCGCCGCCGCCGUGCCCCGAACUGGCGCCGCGGAGCGUGAGGUGGAGAGGGCGGAGGUCGAGCCGACGAGGAAGGAAGCCACGACGCCGGACGUGCUGUCCGUGGCUGAUGUGCUGCGGAAGGAGGAGGAGGACGUCGGCGAUGACGAGGAGAGGUUCUCGGACGCGCUGGACACGCUCUCCCGCACAGAGUCCUUCACCGUGAACUGCAGCGUCAGCGGUCUCAGCGGCGUGCCGGACCGCCCCGCGGGUGCGGGUGCGGCCGCCAGCGCCGAGCCCGGCGCCCGCGGCCUCAUGAUGGACCGCUUCCUACCGGCCGCACAGGCGGUGGCCGUGGGCUCCCCGCAGUACACCUUCCGCAAGGCCAGUGUAGCUGGCUCCACCGGCAACUCUGCCCGCGAGCAUGCGCAUGCCGCUGCGGCCAAUUGGAGAAUGGGCAGCGAUGAUGAUCGCGUCAGGAGAACACCUGUCCAGCUCCCUUACCAGAAUCUGCCUCCCAAUUAUUUGUCUUGCAACUAUCCCAGACGCGAUGAGCAUGAAGAAGAGGAGGAAGAAGAGGAUGAGGAUGACUUCGACGUACACAGUACCCGAGGUUUUGCAUCCAAGGGGUGUGGUUUGCUCCCUGGAUUGUGCGUAAAAACCUCCUUGUUACUACUGAAUCCAAUGCCUAUGAUGAAGGGUGGCAAGGGGCGUCGGGGAGGAAGAGGCAGGGGAUUGGUAUCCAAAGGCAGGGGCCAGAAGGCACCGAGCCCUCUUGCCCGGAGCUCACAACGUAAGAAUCUUGGCUGUGAUUCUAAUGGGGUAAGCAGAUGCACACAACAAUGCUUCAUGAAUUCAGAGUUAUGUUGCUUCUUGACAAUUUCAGGAGUGGUAGUUCUAAACAUCUCAAUCUCUGUUAUAUUGCAGCAAUACUGGGAGGAAGUUUAUAAGCACAAGUUGGAACAGAAGUACAUUAACCAAGGAGAGGAUAGGAGGAGCAAGCUGACAAGUGAGUCGAACCAUCUGACAUUCUGGAGUGACUCUCAAACUGGCGAUGGGUCUUCACCAUUCCGCCACUCCAUAGGUGGUGGCAUGUCUCCCUACCGCCGCGACGUUGCCUUGUCACCAUCACGUAAAGCAAAUGGGUCAUUUGAAGUAAGAGAUAAAGAUGAGAAAAUGAGUAGAAGCAAUGGCUCUAGCUCACUUGGAAUAGACCAUGAUCAUGGCUCGUUGCUUGGAUCAGAUCACAGUUCUUUGAAGGGAUCAAGCUCCAUGAGCUCAGGGGGCGAUAGAACAUUGCAUGAAGAUUCAAUGGAUCACCGUUCAGGUAUUGAUUCAGAAGCUAGUCAGUUGACCCUGCCAUUGGAUCCAAAGGCAUCUUUGAAUUCAGGGUGUGAUGUUCAACAUGGAGGACACCAGAUAGUCAGAAGUAACAGCAUAGUGGAAGUUCAAGACAAUGAUACGUUGACAAAAACAAUCGCCAAAGUGCCAGAAUCCAUUUCAUUAAUACCUUCCGGAAACGCAGGAUCAGUAAAACUGGAUGAUAGAAAAACUCAUGAUAGUAGUCAGGAUGUUCCAGUACAUUCGGAAGAUAAUAUCGCCGUCAAGAAGGAAAGUAUGCCUUUGCAAUUUCUAAUGCCGUUACCUGUCCCAAAGUCGCCUUCAGAUUCUUGGCUUUCUCGCAAUUUGCCAUCUGUGAAGAAUAAACCACCUGCACCAUCUUUUCUUGGAAUCCAAGUACAGUCCAAGAAACAAGCUCCCUGGGCCUCCGCACAUCCAAAGGAGAAUGAUCUUAAACCUCCCAGGACACGCCAAAUAAGAUUUGCAGAUGUGGUGGAGAGGCCUUAUUAUCUGGAUACUGAGAUAUGA
rnacentral:rRNA from 1 species